rnacentral:rRNA from 1 species
AACGAACGCUGGCGGCAUGCCUAACACAUGCAAGUCGAACGAGACCUUCGGGUCUAGUGGCGCACGGGUGCGUAACGCGUGGGAAUCUGCCCCUUGGUUCGGAAUAACUUCGGGAAACUGAAGCUAAUACCGGAUAAUGACGUAAGUCCAAAGAUUUAUCGCCAAGGGAUGAGCCCGCGUAGGAUUAGCUAGUUGGUGGGGUAAAGGCUCACCAAGGCGACGAUCCUUAGCUGGUCUGAGAGGAUGAUCAGCCACACUGGGACUGAGACACGGCCCAGACUCCUACGGGAGGCAGCAGUGGGGAAUAUUGGACAAUGGGCGAAAGCCUGAUCCAGCAAUGCCGCGUGAGUGAUGAAGGCCUAGGGUUGUAAAGACUCUUUUACCCGGGAAGAUAAUAGACAGUACCGGGAGAAUAAGCUCCGGCUAACUCCGUGCCAGCAGCCGCGGUAAAGUAGUGACU